rnacentral:rRNA from 1 species
AAACGAACGCUGGCGGCAGGGUCUAACAGAUUUAAAGUCGAGCGCACCUUCGCCGUGAGCGGUUGAGACGGGUUAGUAACGCGUGGGAACAUACCUUUGGUACGGAAUAGCCUCUGGAAACGGAGAGUAAUACCGUAUGAGCCCUUCGGGGGAAAGAUUUAUCGCCAAAGGAUUGGCCCGCGUUAGAUUAGGUAGUUGGUGGGGUAAUGGCCUACCAAGCCUACGAUCUAUAGCUGGUUUUAGAGGAUGAUCAGCAACACUGGGACUGAGACACGGCCCACACUCCUACGGGAGGCAGCAGUGGGGAAUCUUGGACAAUGGGGGCAACCCUGAUCCAGCCAUGCCGCGUGAGUGAUGAAGGCCUUAGGGUCGUAAAGCUCUUUCGCCUGUGAAGAUAAUGACGGUAGCACGGUAAAGAAACCCCGGCUAACUCCGUGCCAGCAGCCAGCGGUAAUACGGAGGGGGUCACCGUUGUUCGGAAUUACUGGGCGUAAAAGCGCACGUAGGCGGACUGGAAAGUUGGGGGUGAACACUCCCAGCGGCUCAAACCUGGAACCUGCCAUCCAAAACCUAUCAGUUCUAGAGUUCGAGAGAGGUUGAGUGGAAUUCCGACUGUACAAGGUGAAAAUUCCGGG